CUGCAUGAAAAAACAGGAGCAGAGCCAUAGCCAACAAAUGAAAUGGGACUGAGAAAUAUAUCUUCAUUGUUGAAAAGCAACUGAGAUUUGGGGGUUAUUAAUGACUAUAAUCUAGUGAAAACUUGCUAAUUCACUAUCUUAUUUAUUAUAGGGCAACGAUUCACAAACCCAAGUAUUUGCCUGAAGGAUGCUCAGUGAUCCCAGUCCUCUAGAGAGUGACAUUGCUCUCAUAAUGAUGUAGGUUCUUCCAGAGACACAUCCUCUGGGAAUUCUUCGGAUGGUAAUCUGAUCGGCUUCGAAAUCAAGCUGAAUCCUAGAGGCCGGGGAAAAGUUUGCUUGUGGUGCCCUCUGCCCUUGUGGAUAAAGGAGGCUCAGAAUGACUUUGAAGACUCCUCAGUGAAGGAAGAAGAAUGUGUGCACGGAUACUGAGCAGUGGUAAACAUGGCAGAGACUGAUCCACCCCUGAAGUUGGAGUUUAUAAUUAUUAUUUAUCUCUGCAUGUCAGAUGGAUAAACCAAGAGAGAUUUGCAAAGGAAACGUUUUGCCAAAGGAAACUAAUUGAAUUUCAGUCUCAUGAAGAUUUCCAUCCAUCGAAGAGGCAACUGGAUCCUGAAGGGUUAACAUGCUUACCCAAGGUCAUAUCAAUUCCUUCCCCAGUUUAAUCUUUAUUGGCUAUACGCCCAGUGAGCCAGCUCUCCAGAUGUUUGGAGCACUGGAAAUUGCUUCUCUAGUGGUGAAGAUAUGGAGCCCAGCUGCCAGGGGAAACAGCCACUUCCUAAUGUAACUGCUCAGAAAUGCUGGAGGAGAAAAUGAGGACCCCUGAAGAACAGACCAUUAAGUUCUACUGGCUAUUUACAACUCUUAUAGCUGGGGUGUUGGAUUGUGCUUUGAAGGAAGAAGAUAUCUCCACUCUUCUAGCAACCAUCUAUAAGUUACUUCAGUUUGUCCAGCUUGGGUAGUAUCUACAUUCCUGGAUUCAGUGUCCUAGGCCAAAGGGAUGAAUACCAUGAUGUAGUGCAUCUGGACUGUGGCCUCACUCUGAGGCCAGGGCCACACUUACUGGGAUUGGCAGUUCCACCAAGGCUAAGGGGAGGGCCAUUCAGCCAACGGAGUGCUUUCACUGUCUUACUUGAUUCAGCCUGAGCGCUCUGUAGGAUUGGCCAGGAGAAUCAGCAUCAACCCCAGUGAGCAAAGGAGGUCCCGGGAAGUGAAGGGAUCCACCCAGUGUCACACAGGUCCUCAGGGAGCUAAGACUCAAGAUUUUAUUUAUUUAUUCAUGAGAGACAGAGAGGCCGAGACACACGCAGAGGGAGAAGCA